AAUGAACGCUGGCGGCAGGCCUAACACAUGCAAGUCGAACGAGGUAGCAAUACCUAGUGGCGGACGGGUGAGUAACGCGUGGGAACGUGCCCCUUGGUACGGAAUAGCCCUGGGAAACUGGGAGUAAUACCGUAUGUGGUCGAGAGACGAAAGAUUUAUCGCCAAGGGAUCGGCCCGCGUUGGAUUAGGUAGUUGGUGGGGUAAUGGCCUACCAAGCCGACGAUCCAUAGCUGGUUUGAGAGGAUGAUCAGCCACACUGGGACUGAGACACGGCCCAGAAUCCUACGGGAGGCAGCAGUGGGGAAGCUUAGACAAUGGGGGAAACCCUGAUCUAGCCAUGCCGCGUGAUCGAUGAAGGCCUUAGGGUUGUAAAGAUCUUUCAGUGGGGAAGAUAAUGACGGUACCCACAGAAGAAGCCCCGGCUAACUCCGUGCCAGCCGCCGCCGUAA
rnacentral:rRNA from 1 species